rnacentral:rRNA from 1 species
UGCUUAACACAUGCAAGUCGGACGAUGAACCAGGAGCUUGCUCUUGGGGAUUAGUGGCGAACGGGUGAGUAACACGUGAGUAACCUGCCCUUGACUCUGGGAUAACCUCCGGAAACGGAAGCUAAUACCGGAUACGAACUGCGAAGGCAUCUUCAGCAGUUGGAAAGAACUUCGGUCAAGGAUGGACUCGCGGCCUAUCAGGUAGUUGGUGAGGUAACGGCCCACCAAGCCUACGACGGGUAGCCGGCCUGAGAGGGUGACCGGCCACACUGGGACUGAGACACGGUCCAGACUCCUACGGGAGGCAGCAGUGGGGAAUAUUGCACAAUGGGCGCAAGCCUGAUGCAGCAACGCCGCGUGAGGGAUGACGGCCUUCGGGUUGUAAACCUCUUUUAGUAGGGAAGAAGCGAAAGUGACGGUACCUGCAGAAAAAGCACCGGCUAACUACGUGCCAGCAGCCGCGGUAAUACGUAGGGUGCGAGCGUUGUCCGGAAUUAUUGGGCGUAAAGAGCUCGUAGGCGGUCUGUCGCGUCUGCUGUGAAAACCCGAGGCUCACCCUCGGGCCUGCAGUGGGUACGGGCAGACUAGAGUGCGGUAGGGGAGAAUGGAAUUCCUGGUGUAGCGGUGGAAUGCGCAGAUA